AUCGCUCCUCCAAUCCCCGGGCCUCAUUUCCACCCAAUCCCCCUUUCUCCUCUCUCCUCCUCUCCAAUGGUGGCGCGCCGCUCUCCCCGGCAUGGAGACGGACGGGAGACCGCACGCAGGCGGGCUUCCGUGCGGCGGCGCUCGUCGGCUGCGCACGGCGCCCUUGGCCGCCGCGACCUGCUCGCGCCUCCCCGACGCCGGCGGCCUCUCUGCGCAUCCUCCUGCUGGAGGCGAGCUGCAGGAGAGCAGACGGGGCCGGAUGGGACGGCUGCCGCGCGGCUUCCAUCCCUUACCUCCGCGGCCCUUCCUCCUCCCGCACGUCGUCGUCGUGGAUCCUGCCGGCGGCCGCGCGAUUUCCAAUCUUCGUGGAGGGCGGGAUUUGGAGGCUGCGUCGUGGAGGUUGCAGGCCGGCCGGCUGCCAUGCCGAUCACCAUGCCUUCCCGCCGCUCUGCUGCCCUCCUUCCAAGCCAGCGACAGGAGAGGUUGCACGAGUCUGGGAGGCGGCGGCAUCGUCCUCCACCGCCUUCAGACCUUGUGCUAGGCGCGGCUGGAGCCCUUCAACCUUCCAGCACGCUCGCAUCUGCUGUCCAACCGUAGGAGGAUGGCUCGCUGCGGUGGCGGACCAACCAUCAGCGGAGAUCGAGCUUAAGCUCUGAUGCAUUGCUCAAGCUCUGAUGCAUUACCGCAUCUCCGCCCAACCAGGCGCGCCGCUGUCUCUCUGUCUAGGUGCUCGUCUCCGCGCUGCAGUCUUGGUCGUCUCCAACUUGUUAGGCCCAUCUACGAGGACCUUGUCUACUGCUACCUCAAACGUAAGCUGCUAUACACUUUUUUUCCAGGUCUUCUACUUAUAUCGAUUGGUUGGUUCUGCAAUUUCUAUAGACAAGGAGAGAUGCAUUUGUUGAGAUGGUCUUGAUGCAUUUGUUCAGAUGGACCUGAUGCAUAUUUCGAGCUUGGAGUUUCUUGUGUAUAUGCAGGUGAAUUCUUAAUCAUGUGAGGCCUUUGAUGGAUCAAGCUCCCACAGUCAUUCCUGGGUUAAAGUAAUGCGGUAUUGCAACUUGUUGUCUCACUGAAAUUCUUGCUAUUGAUGCUUGCAUGAACCAAUUCCAGGGUGGAUUAGUACAUAUAUAUGCUAUAAAUAUUCAACCUUCCGGUGCUUGUUAGUCAAAUAUAUAUGGAUAGGGUUUGUACGCUGAUCUUGGAGUUUUCAAAGCCUUCUACUCCCUCCGAUUCAUAUUAAUUGACUUCAAUAUAGAUGUAUCUAGAACUAAAAUGUGUCUAGAUACAUCCAUAUUAGAGUCAAUUAAUAUGAACCGGAGGGAGUAUAAAAUUAUUAGCUAGCUACUUCAGUGACUAGGCGGAUUUGCAUGCGUUCAACUUGCUCUUUGUUAUUAGGCUGCUUCUUUCAGGGUUAAUGUGUGAGUUCCUCUUUUCAAUUUAGGAACUCCACCCUAUGUGUAAAUGUUUUUAUUUAUUUAUUGCCCUUCCUCUUCCCAUUAACUCAUCCCUAGCACGAAGAGGUUUCCCACUGCUAUUGCUUCCAGUCAGGAUGGGAGGCUGUUAUUUAGGAAGUGUUCAUGGUACCAGGUCUCCUUUGACCAGACCGUUUCAGAAUGCGAACAAGGUCAUACUAUUCAAAGCUUUCCAAAGAAACAGUGAGCUUGGUUGUAGAUAGUCUAUUGAAAAGAUAGAAGAUAUGGUAUCUUGCACGCAAAUGUUAGCACACCUGUAAGUUGUGUUUAGUAAAUUUUGACUUUCUAUUGUGUGAUUACUGUUCCCUUGAUUGACAAUCUCAGUGCGUGCUUUACAGAUUGCUAAUUAAUAUUGUAAUGCAAUCUUGUACUGUCACACACACUUUCUUUUAAAUUGCUUAAAUAGAUAUCAAAAUGCAUUUUUGUAUUAUUUUAAUUACUAAUAUUCAUCCUGUUUUGUCAGCCUAGAAAGAUGAAGGGAAGCUUCUGCUGGUCAAAGAUUCAGACAUUGGACACACGUAUCAUCUCCUACGACUCUUGUCACUCUGAUGAUCUGCAGGAUGCACAACAGGUGUUUGAAAACUGAGGAGCUCCGAUGGCGGCGGCGGACGGAUUGGAAGGGGACGGCGGCGAGUGGGGGAGGACGGACUGGAUGGUCCAGCGAUGAGCAGGGCCGCCUACCGCGAGCUCGAAGUUACUCUCUGCGUCACGCGAUUGGUAGUACUAGGCGGCAUCGGACACGGCGACGACGGUGUAGGAGGGCGGAAGCGGCGGGGAGUGGGGGUCCUCAUCUGACCAGUCGUUCGGCCGACCAAGGCUAGGAAGGCAGCCGUCGGCGACAAGGAUCUAGAUUUCGUCAGGGAGCCCUUCCCCACCUACGAGGCGUGCACGAAGUGGCCGAAGCGCUACCAGCGGCGCCCGUGAGGCCAGAUGAGGAGGAGGACGUCAAGGCGCGGUGUCACUACCGCUGUGUGCAGAUCGACAAUAUAGUCUACAUGCUUGAUGACGAUGUGUAUGUCCAGGUUGCGAACAACGGCAGGGAUGCCAUUGCUAAAGCCUAUUCCAGCCAUUUGGUGAGCUCAUUGUUGACAACAAGGCUAUGUUGUACUUUGAAAACGGAGCCACAUCUUGCAAGUUUUGGUGACUCUUCAGAGUUCUUCAUUGAUCCUGGUGGCACACUGAUAGCCUGAAAUUUUAUCCUCUUGGCAAGAACAUGAGCAACCAUACUUACCUGUCGAAUUCUUGCGGAGCAAUGCUGCCAAGGAUUAUGUUCGGUGGCCGCCCCCAUGUGUUAUGUUCUUUUCGCCCCUUAGAUGAUUAUUUUGCUCAUACUGAGUUAUGUGGUUUUUCCGUGUUGGGUUGGUUGGUAUGUCCUUGCUUAUUUUUGAUACAACACAUGCGUGCUUAUAAUGAGAAAUAAGGCUUACAUGAGCAUGGAGGAUUACUGGUCAGUGUAAUUGGACUACCUGGGCAUCAAGGCGUCAAGUAUAGAUGUGCAGAGAAGGACGAAGAGCACAUCCUUGAGCAGUAGUUCAGUGAUGCCUGGUAUGUCUGUUUAUGUUGGGAUAAUAAAGCUUUGUUUUAAGGAAUUUGGACGGUGUUGGUGGAUUUGAAAUGGUGGAAGGAGAAAUGAAGCUGAGGCCGUGUGCCCAUGUCAAAAUGUACAGCCGAAUAUCGAGUGACAUUUUAUUCACUAUUCAUUCGGAGAAGAUAUGCCAUUGGUUGGGGUGACAUAACGGCAUGUGUUGCAGCUCGAUGAGUCGGCCCAGCCAGGUAUGCAUAGACUGAGUGUGCUUGGAUCCAGGCCACCUCUCUUGGAUUCCUAUCAAGAGCUCGGCUUACGGCACAGCUGUUGACCAAGCGAGAGUUUUUGUGAUGAGCCAGGUGCGCUCCUGGAAGAAAAAGAGGACGACACAAGGGAACCGUCGCCGCGUGGACGUCGCAGUGCCUCCCACACGGUGUUAUUGUGGUAGCAUAUCAUCGCCGCUCUAGGCGACCCCGUGGUGCUAACCACAUGCGUUGUCGGAACAUCCAUUCGAUGAUUCUGCCUAUACCCACCUGCCUGUAGCCUGGGAGUGUAUCGUCUCAACUGGAGCCUGAAGCACGCUACACGGUAGCAACCAACAUUGCUAUCCAUGUUGAAUAUUGCUGCUGCAGCAGCCAGGAAUGCUGGGGAUAGAGGUCGGUGAAGACCUUGCUUGCCUGUCGAAUGAACCAACUAAUGAGAAAAUCAAAUAAGCUGUCCAGGGACUGGUUGUGCUCAAGCUUAAUAAACAUUGAGAGCAGUGAUGUUUUCUUUUAUUGUCGAGAGUGCGGAAGAAAUCUGAAUAAUCAAAUUUCAAGCUCAAAUUCCAUAUUGUUUUCAGGUUGUUCUUCACUGCUUUGUGUUCUUCAACUUUCUGUUCAGCCCGAUACAAAAAAAUGCAUUGUAUUGCUGUACGAUAUACCUCUGAACACAGUUCAGCUAAAAUGUCGCUUGGACAGAGCACUAUUGUUUCUUGUUUUUGUAGAGUUCUUAUUACGAUUCCCUUUUAGGUGUAUGAAACACUUCUUUUCAAUUUCAAAAGCAGCUGUGUUGGGUAUUUGAGAAUGGUGGCAGCACUACAUGAGGGUAUAAUGUGUGGGCAAUUUUUUCCUUGGUUCUUCAGGCUGCAUUGCAAUAGUUGGGGAGGUGUUGGAGAGGAACGGGAAUUGUAUAACUGCAGUCUCCUGCGUGCCAGAGGUGCAGUUGACCACAGCUGAGUACCUCAGUGCGCUUACUUUCGCUCAUGUCAUGAAGAGACUGGCGACCUGCUACCGAGGGAGGUGACACUGACUGCGCUGAGCGGAUGUCAUCUGAAGAAUCAUACGGUGGCUUGCCAUGCACAGCACCGUGCUCGGUUUACCUUGGGCUCAUCAUCAAGGACGAUGGCAACAAUCAGCCUGAUCUGGAGGCGGUGUGGUCAGCGAGUCCUCUGUCGAAGGAGGCGAGGACCAGCAUGAGGUUUCAUAACUUAAAAUCAUUCAGUAAUUAAUCUUCAAGAAAUGUAUUAAGAGCAUCGUGUAGAAGUUCAUGAUUGUUUGACUCAGUUAUGGCAAAUGAAGCAAAUGAGUUUUUCAUGUAUUCUUGUUUGUAGCAAAGUAUAAGGGCAAUAAUUUUUUCAGAUAGCUUAUUAACAUUUGUUAAACAGUGGAGAUGUUGCUUGUUCC